rfam:Deltaproteobacteria bacterium RBG_13_65_10 RBG_13_scaffold_3565, whole genome shotgun sequence.
CUGAGGCAGCCGUGAGGCUCCCUGACCGCGGCGCAGGAGUCAGCAGAGGGCAUAGUAGGCGGAGGAAACGAGCCGGGCGAGCCCGGAGCGACUCACCCCGCCGAAGGCC